AUACGUAGGGGGCGAGCGUUGUCCGGAAUGAUUGGGCGUAAAGGGCGCGUAGGCGGCGCGGUAAGUCUGGAGUGAAAGUCCUGCUUUCAAGGUGGGAAUUGCUUUGGAUACUGCCGCGCUUGAGUGCAGGAGAGGUUAUCGGAAUUCCCGGUGUAGCGGUGAAAUGCGUAGAGAUCGGGAGGAACACCAGUGGCGAAGGCGGGUAACUGGACUGCAACUGACGCUGAGGCGCGAAAGUGUGGGGAGCAAACAGGAUUAGAUACCCUGGUAGUCCACGCAGUAAACGAUGAUGGCUAACCGCUGGUUUAUUCGGAUCAGUGGCCAAGCGAAAGCGAUAAGCCAUCCACCUGGGGAGUACGACCGCAAGGUUGAAACUCAAAGGAAUUGACGGGG
rnacentral:rRNA from 1 species